rnacentral:rRNA from 1 species
UAGGGAAUCUUCCGCAAUGGACGAAAGUCUGACGGAGCAACGCCGCGUGAGUGAAGAAGGAUUUCGGUUCGUAAAACUCUGUUGUUAGGGAAGAAAAAAUGUAUAGUAACUAUAUACAAAAGAGACGGUACCUAACCAGAAAGCCACGGCUAACUACGUGCCAGCAGCCGCGGUAAUACGUAGGUGGCAAGCGUUGUCCGGAAUUAUUGGGCGUAAAGCGCGCGCAGGUGGUUUAGAAAGUCUGAUGUGAAAGCCCACGGCUCAACCGUGGAGGGUCAUUGGAAACUAAUAAACUUGAGUGCAGGAGAGAAAAGUGGAAUUCCUAGUGUAGCGGUGAAAUGCGUAGAGAUUAGGAGGAACACCGGUGGCGAAAGCGGCUUUUUGGCCUGCAACUGACGCUGAGGCGCGAAAGCGUGGGGAGCGAACAAG